rnacentral:rRNA from 1 species
AGAGUUUGAUCAUGGCUCAGGACGAACGCUGGCGGCGUGCCUAAUACAUGCAAGUCGAGCGAACCGAUAGAAAAGCUUGCUUUUCUUGAAGUUAGCGGCGGACGGGUGAGUAACACGUGGGCAACCUGCCUGUAAGACUGGGAUAACUUACGGAAACGUGAGCUAAUACCGGAUAGUUUCACUUCUUGCAUGAGAAGUGAAGGAAAGAUGGCUUCGGCUAUCACUUACAGAUGGGCCCGCGGCGCAUUAGCUAGUUGGUGGGGUAAUGGCCUACCAAGGCGACGAUGCGUAGCCGACCUGAGAGGGUGAUCGGCCACACUGGGACUGAGACACGGCCCAGACUCCUACGGGAGGCAGCAGUAGGGAAUCUUCCGCAAUGGACGAAAGUCUGACGGAGCAACGCCGCGUGAGCGAUGAAGGUCUUCGGAUCGUAAAGCUCUGUUGUUAGGGAAGAACAAGUACCGGAGUAACUGUCGGUACCUUGACGGUACCUAACCAGAAAGCCACGGCUAACUACGUGCCAGCAGCCGCGGUAAUACGUAGGUGGCAAGCGUUGUCCGGAAUUAUUGGGUGUAAAGCGCGCGCAGGCGGUCCUUUAAGUCUGAUGUGAAAUCUUGCGGCUCAACCGCAAGCGGUCAUUGGAAACUGGGGGACUUGAGUGCAGGAGAGGAAAGCGGAAUUCCAUGUGUAGCGGUGAAAUGCGUAGAGAUAUGGAGGAACACCAGUGGCGAAAGCGGCUUUCUGGCCUGUAACUGACGCUGAGGCGCGAAAGCGUGGGGAGCAAACAGGAUUAGAUACCCUGGUAGUCCACGCCGUAAACGAUGAGUGCUAAGUGUUGGAGGGUUUCCGCCCUUCAGUGCUGCAGCAAACGCAUUAAGCACUCCGCCCUGGGGAGUACGGU